GUUUAUCAGAAGAGAUCAGAAGCAGAGCCCAGCUGUGUGUCUAUGAAGAGUGACUGGUCUAUGCUUGAGCCAAUAAUGUUUAACAGUGGAGAUACACAGCCUGAUCUCAGCUCAGUUCAUCAAGAAGAGAACAGAAGCAGAGCCCAGCUGUGUGUCUAUGAAGAGUGACGCAUCUAUGGUUUGUCAAGAACAAUUCAAGAGUGGAGAUACACGGCCUGCUCUCAGCAAUGAAGCCCUCAAAACAUUUAGAUCAAAUCUGAUGAAGAAGUUUGCGUGUCUGUAUGAGGGAACAGCGACGCAGAGAA